AGAGUUUGAUUCUGGCUCAGAACGAACGCUGGCGGCGCGUAUUAAGCAUGCAAGUCGGACGGUGGGGGGAGUUUUCGGAUUCUCCUGAGAGUGGCGAACGGGUGAGUAACACGUAGGUAAUCUACCCUUAGAUGCGGGAUAGUGCAUGGAAACAUGUGGUAAUACCGCAUGAGGCCUAUUGGGGGUCACCCUGGUGGGUUAAAGGUGCAAUUGUGCUGUCUAGGGAUGAGCCUGCGGUCCAUUAGUUAGUUGGUGGGGUAACGGCCUACCAAGGCGAUGAUGGAUAGCCGGCCUGAGAGGGCGUACGGUCACACUGGGACUGAGACACGGCCCAGACUCCUACGGGAGGCAGCAGUGAGGAAUAUUGGGCAAUGGGCGCAAGCCUGACCCAGCCAUGCCGCGUGCAGGAUGACUGCCCUAUGGGUUGUAAACUGCUUUUUUACAGGAAGAAAAUUUUCGACGUGUCGAGAACUGACGGUACUGUAAGAAUAAGGAUCGGCUAACUCCGUGCCAGCAGCCGCGGUAAUACGGAGGAUCCAAGCGUUAUCCGGAUUUAUUAGGUUUAAAGGGUGUGUAGGCGGGUUAUUAAGUCAGUGGUGAAAUCCUGCAGCUCAACUGUAGAACUGCCAUUGAAACUGAUAAUCUUGAGUAUAGUUGAGGUGGGCGGAAUGUGUCAUGUAGCGGUGAAAUGCAUAGAUAUGACCCAGAACGCCAAUUGCGUAGGCAGCUCACUAAACUAUCACUGACGCUGAUGCACGAAAGCGUGGGGAGCGAACAGGAUUAGAUACCCUGGUAGUCCACGCUGUAAACGAUGAUUACUGGAUGUAUGCGAUACACAGUAUGCGUCUGAGCAAAAGUAUUAAGUAAUCCACCUGGGGAGUACGUUCGCAAGAAUGAAACUCAAAGGAAUUGACGGGGGCCCGCACAAGCGGAGGAACAUGUGGUUUAAUUCGAUGAUACGCGAGGAACCUUACCUGGGCUUAAAUGCAGAAUGACAACUUGAGAAAUUGAGUUUCCCUUCGGGGCAAUUUGCAAGGUGCUGCAUGGUUGUCGUCAGCUCGUGCCGUGAGGUGUCGGGUUAAGUCCCAUAACGAGCGCAACCCCUAUCGUUAGUUGCCAUCUGGUAAUGCAGGGAACUCUAACGAAACUGCCGGUGUAAACCGAGAGGAAGGUGGGGAUGACGUCAAAUCAGCACGGCCCUUAUGUCCAGGGCUACACACGUGUUACAAUGGUCGAUACAAAGGGCAGCUACUUGGUGACAAGAUGCUAAUCUCGAAAGUCGAUCUCAGUUCGGAUCGAAGUCUGCAACUCGACUUCGUGAAGUUGGAUUCGCUAGUAAUCGUAUAUCAGCAAUGAUACGGUGAAUACGUUCCCGGGCCUUGUACACACCGCCCGUCAAGCCAUGGAAGCUGGGGGUAUCUGAAGUCCGUAACCGUAAGGAGCGGCCUAGGGUAAAACUAGUGACUGGGGCUAAGUCGUAACAAGGUAGCC
rnacentral:rRNA from 1 species